CAAGCAGAUCGCCUUAUCGAUUCUAAGUAUAUUUAGGAUAGGAAAGUCCGAACACCAUAGUGUAACAUAGUGGCUAACAGCCACCAGUCGUAAGGCUAGGAAAAGUGCAACAGAAAGUAUGUACAGGUCAUGCUGUAGUGAAAUCAGGUAAACUCUAUGUGGUGCAAUGUCAUGUAAACUAGUGCUUGAGCGUGCACGCGCGAUGCUAGAGGGUAGGCAGCUAAAAUUUAUUGGUAACAAUAAAUGUAGAUAAAUGAUAAGGGCUCUUUUCUUCAAAGAAAAGUGUACAGAAUUCGGCUUAUAGAUUUGCUUAGUUA
rnacentral:RNase_P_RNA from 1 species